rnacentral:rRNA from 1 species
CUUGAACUAAAUAAGAGGUAUAGCCUGCCCAGUGACGCCAGUUCAACGGCCGCGGUAUCCUAACCGUGCGAAGGUAGCGUAAUCACUUGUUCUUUAAAUGAGGACUAGUAUGAAUGGCAUUACGAGGGUUAUACUGUCUCCUCUCUCCAAUCAGUGAAACUAAUCUCCCCGUGAAGAAGCGAGGAUAAACACAUAAGACGAGAAGACCCUAUGGAGCUUUAAACAAACCAGCAUUUGCUACUCAACCACACUUUUCAGAAACCCUAAACACAUCCUAGCUCUCUGACUGCAAGUUUUCGAUUGGGGUGAUCAUGGAACAAAAAAUAACCUCCAUGUCGAAAGGACCCUCUCCUGAACAAAAAGCGACAGCUUUCUGCACUAAAAAAUUAACGUUUAUUGACCCAACACUUUGAUCAACGAAC